UACGGGGGGGGCAAGCGUUGUUCGGAAUUACUGGGCGUAAAGGGCUCGUAGGCGGCCAACUAAGUCAGACGUGAAAUCCCGUCGGCUUAACCGGGGAACUGCGUCUGAUACUGGAUGGCUUGAGAUUGGGAGAGGGAUGCGGAAUUCCAGGUGUAGCGGUGAAAUGCGUAGAUAUCUGGAGGAACACCGGUGGCGAAGGCGGCAUCCUGGACCAACACUGACGCUGAGGAGCGAAAGCCAGGGGAGCAAACGGG
rnacentral:rRNA from 1 species